rnacentral:rRNA from 1 species
CCACGGUGAAUACGUUCCCGGGCCUUGUACACACCGCCCGUCACGCCACGGAAGCCGAGGGCGCCUGAAGUCGGGGGAUUAAAUCCCUGCCGAGGGCGAAAUGGGUAACUGGGGCU